AGUGAACGCUGGCGGUAGGCCUAACACAUGCAAGUCGAACGGCAGCACAGUAAGAGCUUGCUCUUACGGGUGGCGAGUGGCGGACGGGUGAGGAAUACAUCGGAAUCUACUUUUUCGUGGGGGAUAACGUAGGGAAACUUACGCUAAUACCGCAUACGACCUACGGGUGAAAGCAGGGGAUCUUCGGACCUUGCGCGAUUGAAUGAGCCGAUUUCGGAUUGGCUAGUUGGCGGGGUAAGGGCCCACCAAGGCGACGAGCCGUAGCUGGUCUGAGGGGAUGACAGGCCCACCGGAACUGAGACACCGGCCCAACCCCCAAGGGAGGGCAGAGGGGGGAAAUUUUGGAAAAGGGCGAAAGCCCUACUGAGGCCAUCCCCGUGGGGGAAAAAGGGCUUCGGGUUGUAAAACCCUUUUUUUUGGGAAGAAAAAACGUCUGAUUAACUCCCCGCUUUUUGACGGGACCCAAAAAAAAAGCCACGGCUAACUUCGUG
rnacentral:rRNA from 1 species